UACGUAGGGGGCAAGCGUUGUCCGGAUUUAUUGGGCGUAAAGAGCGUGUAGGCGGCCAGGUAGGUCUGGUGUGAAAACUCGAGGCUUAACCUCGAGAUGUCAUCGGAAACCAUUUGGCUAGAGUCCGGAAGAGGAGAGUGGAAUUCCUGGUGUAGCGGUGAAAUGCGCAGAUAUCAGGAAGAACACCAAUGGCGAAAGCAGCUCUCUGGGACGGUACUGACGCUGAGACGCGAAAAGCGUGGGGAGCGAACAGG
rnacentral:rRNA from 1 species